CCAAUAGCGUAUAUUAAAGUUGUUGCAGUUAAAAAGCUCGUAGUUGAAUUUCGAGAUCGGUUUAUUGGUCGUGCUAUUGUACGUACUAGUAUUACCGGUUUCUCCUUUCUGACGAACCUUAAUGCCAUUAAUUUGGUGUUUUGGGAAAUCAGGACUGUUACUUUGAAAAAAUUAGAGUGUUUAAAGCAGGCUCACGCUUGAAUACAUUAGCAUGGAAUAACGGAAUAGGACGUUUGAUUCUAUUUUGUUGGUUUCUAGGAUCGACGUAAUGAUUAAUAGGGAUAGUUGGGGGCAUUAGUAUUCAAUUGUCAGAGGUGAAAUUCUUGGAUUUAUUGAAGACUAACUACUGCGAAAGCAUUUGCCAAGGAUGUUUUCAUUAAUCAAGAACGAAAGUUAGGGGAUCGAAGACGAUCAGAUACCGUCGUAGUCUUAACCAUAAACUAUGCCGACUAGGGAUCGGAUGAUGUUAAUUUUUUAAUGACUCAUUCGGCGCCUUACG
rnacentral:rRNA from 1 species